rnacentral:rRNA from 1 species
GACGAACGCUGGCGGCGUGCUUAACACAUGCAAGUCGAGCGAUGAAGCACCUUCGGGUGUGAAUUAGCGGCGAACGGGUGAGGAACACGUGAGAAAUCUGCCUUCAACACUGGGAUAACUCCGGGAAACCGGGGCUAAUACCGGAUACGAGCUCUGACCGCAUGGUCGGGGCUGGAAAGUUUUUCGGUUGAAGAUGACCUCGCGGCCUAUCAGCUUGUUGGUGAGGUAAUGGCUCACCAAGGCGACGACGGGUAGCCGGCCUGAGAGGGCGACCGGCCACACUGGGACUGAGACACGGUCCAGACUCCUACGGGAGGCAGCAGUGGGGAAUAUUGCACAAUGGGCGAAAGCCUGAUGCAGCAACGCCGCGUGAGGGAUGAAGGCC